rfam:Amphibacillus xylanus NBRC 15112 DNA, complete genome.
GUUUAACGAAGGCAAGCUAAAACCGUCACGUCGUGUGACGACGCUUGCAUGACCUACAUCCUGUAGG